GACGUAGGUGGCGAACGUUAUCCGGAAUUAUUGGGCGUAAAGGGUGCGUAGGUGGCCUGACAAGUUAUCAGUGGCAAAUCGAGGCUCAACCUCGUGGAAACUGGUAAUACUGUCCGGCUUGAGUACAGGAGAGGUUAACGGAACUCUAUGUGGAGCGGUAAAAUGCACAGAUAUAUAGAAGAACAUCAAUAAAGGCGAAGGCAGUUAACUAUUCUGUUACUGACGUUGAGGCACGAAAGCGUGGGGAGCAAAACGG
rnacentral:rRNA from 1 species